UACGAAGGGGCUAGCGUUGCUCGGAAUCACUGGGCGUAAAGGGUGCGUAGGUGGCGCUGUAAGUCGGGUGUGAAAUUUCGGAGCUUAACUCCGAAACUGCAUUCGAUACUGCGGUGCUUGAGGACUGGAGAGGAGACUGGAAUUCAUGGUGUAGCAGUGAAAUGCGUAGAGAUCAUGAGGAAGACCAGUGGCGAAGGCGGGUCUCUGGACAGUUCCUGACACUGAGGCACGAAGGCCAGGGGAGCAAAACGGG
rnacentral:rRNA from 1 species